UACAGAGGGUGCGAGCGUUAAUCGGAAUUAUUGGGCGUAAAGGGAGCGUAGGCGGAUGUGCAAGUGAUAGGUGAAAUACCCGGGCUCAACCUGGGGAGGUCCUAUCAGACUGCACGUCUAGAAUGUGGCAGAGGAAGGUGGAAUUUCUGGUGUAGCGGUGAAAUGCGUAGAUAUCAGAAAGAACAUCAAUGGCGAAGGCAGCCUUCUGGGCCAUUAUUGACGCUGAGGCUCGAAAGCGUGGGGAGCGAACAGG
rnacentral:rRNA from 1 species